rnacentral:lncRNA from 1 species
AACACUUUCAUACACAUGUUGUCGCGAAAGGUCGCGAAAUCAUUGAAAGGCUGGCAACACCAAAGUGAGUAUUUGCUGAUGUAUACAUAGAUAUUGUGAGUAUGUUCCUAUAUUUACGCAGAUAUUGUGAGUAUCUUUCACCAAAUAUAAGUAUAUUAUAUUAUGAAUAUUGUCCAUAGAUAGAAUACUAUAUCGUCUAUGUGUAUUAAGUGAGUUUUGCACACUUUUCUGUUGAGAGUACCGCGUACAGAAUAUAUCUUGCAUGAGUGAGUGAGUGGUUUACUGUAGUACCAACAUUCCCUGACUAUAAAGUUACAAUAUGGCCGAAAGUACAAAUGCGCGCCAUUUAAGUAGAACUUUUGAAGUUGUGUUUAACUAAAGAUCUAAACAUAUAAAUGUGAGUGGGUUUUGUGUUACUUUUCUAUUCGCACAUGAGCGGUCUCUCUGAUGUGACACGAUAAGGAAUUUGCCGCCAUCUAGGAAUGUUGUCUUGGAAAACCACAGUCCGUAUAACACAGAACAUUACAAGGUAUGUCAUGAUGCUGUUAUUUUUCGUUUCCUUCCGACAUAUGAUCAACUUAUUAAAAAACCCUUACUCAUAAAUGCGAAGCAGAUUUAGACAUAUUUGAUUUUGUUCUCAUAUCAAGAGAUAACCUACACUUACACACAUUGAACAUACCUAUUUUUAUAUUUUAUUAGGUGCGACAUCAUCGCACGUGAUAUUUUACCUUUUCGCCACUAAACCCCCAAACGGGCGAAAACAUGGUGGAGAUGCUGGGAUAUGAUCCCAUAAUAAAAAAUAAAAUUAUUGUCGGAAGGAUAAUGAAUGGCAUCGUUGACAUAUACCUAAACAAAACAAAUCAUUGCUAAAAGAAAAAAAAAAUUGUUUUGGUAUUUGUUUAUUAUCAUCCAGGAAAACCCUCGCUCACUCGAAACCUAUAAAACUCUUAUACAAUGUGGUGUUACUUGAAAGAACUGUAAUUACUUCUACGUUGUCUACAAAAGGAAAGUAAGAAUUUACUUUAAAACAUCGAGACUUCCUAGCGUCAUGUAUGUGUUGUGUGUCAAAUUCACCAUUAAUAAUAAUACGCGUCUACAUAUGGCGCGCAUGAUGAAUAACAAUGGAAAUUAUAAAAGUCCAGAUAAAUAAUAUUCAAUGUUACAUUAUGUAUGUUAAAUUUCAUGAAGUUAGGAAUUUUAGGUAGGUAAAAUUAUAAUUGAAUUUGUCAAUUUAGUUAGGUACUAAGUAUUUUUUCGCUUAAGCGUCGCGUUUUAGAUUCAAUAUGUAAAUACUUUACUUCGAAAGAUUAUUAGAGAAUAAUACUAGUAUAAUUUAUCCGUUUGAAUUUUAGGUUACAGGUAGGGUGAUAACCAUGAACCACAUAACUUUUACCAAAAUUGUAAAUUGUAAUGGUUCAGAAAACAUUCUAUUGACCGGAAAUGCUCGAUCAAAAUGCGCACUAGGGAUGUGCUUGUGGGCGUUUUGCAUUUAUGACCGAAUUUAGACUAUGUUAUAAUUGAAAAGUUUUGACGAUCGCAUUAAAUUUUGAAAUAUGUAGAUCGGACAGAUAAAAUAGUAUUUGUUUAAAAAAAAAAAUAUCUGUAAAUUAUGAAUGCAACAAUGUCGUAAUACUUGAUUCAAGUGAAGAAAUCUAUUAAAAUAUCUUAGGUAUGACUUAAUAAGAACAGGAAUGAAAACCUCAUAUAUUAUAAUUUUAUACCAAAAUUAAAUUUUCUCUUUUUAUUUCCUUAUAUGACUGUUGUGUAAUAAUUCUAACGGUUUGUUAGCUUAUAUUUACGCAUUCCUUUCUAGAACAAUAUUUUCCGGUACUAUCUGGAGCAAUAUUUUCAUAUUUUAACGCAAGCGUAACCGUAAAGUUUCUUUGUUCUACAAAUAUAUAAAAAAAA